UCAGAUUGAACGCUGGCGGCAGGCCUAACACAUGCAAGUCGGACGGUAGCACAGAGAGCUUGCUCUUGGGUGACGAGUGGCGGACGGGUGAGUAAUGUCUGGGGAUCUGCCCGAUAGAGGGGGAUAACCACUGGAAACGGUGGCUAAUACCGCAUAACGUCGCAAGACCAAAGAGGGGGACCUUCGGGCCUCUCACUAUCGGAUGAACCCAGAUGGGAUUAGCUAGUAGGCGGGGUAAUGGCCCACCUAGGCGACGAUCCCUAGCUGGUCUGAGAGGAUGACCAGCCACACUGGAACUGAGACACGGUCCAGACUCCUACGGGAGGCAGCAGUGGGGAAUAUUGCACAAUGGGCGCAAGCCUGAUGCAGCCAUGCCGCGUGUAUGAAGAAGGCCUUCGGGUUGUAAAGUACUUUCAGCGGGGAGGAAGGCGAUGGGGUUAAUAACCCUGUCGAUUGACGUUACCCGCAGAAGAAGCACCGGCUAACUCCGUGCCAGCAGCCGCGGUAAUACGGAGGGUGCAAGCGUUAAUCGGAAUUACUGGGCGUAAAGCGCACGCAGGCGGUCUGUUAAGUCAGAUGUGAAAUCCCCGGGCUUAACCUGGGAACUGCAUUUGAAACUGGCAGGCUUGAGUCUUGUAGAGGGGGGUAGAAUUCCAGGUGUAGCGGUGAAAUGCGUAGAGAUCUGGAGGAAUACCGGUGGCGAAGGCGGCCCCCUGGACAAAGAC
rnacentral:rRNA from 1 species